CGCAGCCAACGACCCAGCAAAUCCCCGCGCCGGGCACGGACUCGGCCCCCGCCCGCCUCGCGGUCCCCGGGGAUGGCUUUCUCGGAGCCGCCGGGAGAGUCGCUGCGAGGGGGGGAUGCCGAUGCGAUGUGCCGAGCCGAGCCGUGCUGAGCCGCCCCCUCCUCCGCGUUCCGACCGGAGCUCACCGCCGAGCUCUCACGACGAGGAGAGGCCGGGCCGGAGCGCGCUGUGCACGGCAUUAAAAGCAACGGCCUGGCCCCGGCGGAGGAGGAGGAGGCAGUGCGUGUGAUAUUAAUGGCACUUAGCGCCGGGGAGCAGCUCGCCAGGGAUGUGCGAAGGCCUGGCACUGCCCGCACAGCACCGAGAGCACACGGGGCCGCUCCGGGGCGUCCCUUUCUGCGCUACCCAGGGAGUGACUGAGCGGGCUGACAGAGCCCCGUAAGCCGCCCCACUUGUUCGUCUCAAGAGCAUCGAUUCCUGGCUGCGAGGCUCUCCAUCCCAGCACCGCGCGAUGCCCCGCAGCCACUCUUUGGCCCAGACAAAUAGCGGCGAGAUGCGAGCGUUAUUAACCACAUAAAUAAAUCAUUACGCUGCGCA